rfam:Pteropus alecto contig40055, whole genome shotgun sequence.
GUCUACAACCAUGCCACCCUGAACAAGCCUGAUCCCGUGUGAUCUCAGAAGCGAAGCAGGGUCAGGCCUGGUUAGUAUUUGGAUGGGAGACCACCUAAGAAGAUGAGGUGCUAUAGGCG